rnacentral:rRNA from 1 species
AACGAACGCUGGCGGCGUGCCUAACACAUGCAAGUCGAGCGGGAAAGUCUCCUUCGGGGGGCGAGUACAGCGGCGAACGGGUGAGUAAUACGUAGGUAACCUACCCUGGGGACUGGGAUAACCUGUCGAAAGGCGGGCUAAUACCAGAUAAGACCACGAGGGCUUCGGCCCUUGGGGUAAAAUGAUGGCCUCUGCUUGCAAGCUAUCGCUCCGGGAUGGGCCUGCGCGCCAUUAGCUUGUUGGUGAGGUAACGGCUCACCAAGGCUCAGAUGGCUAGCUGGUCUGAGAGGAUGACCAGCCACACUGGGACUGAGACACGGCCCAGACUCCUACGGGAGGCAGCAGUGGGGAAUAUUGCGCAAUGGGCGAAAGCCUGACGCAGCGACGCCGCGUGGGUGAUGAAGGCCUUCGGGUCGUAAAGCCCUGUCGGGAGGGACGAAAUCUCGUCGACCUAAUACGUCGGCGACUUGACGGUACCUUCAAAGGAAGCACCGGCUAACUCCGUGCCAGCAGCCGCGGUAAUACGGAGGGUGCAAGCGUUGUUCGGAAUUACUGGGCAUAAAGGGCCUGUAGGUGGUGCGGAAAGUCGGUUGUGAAAGCCCCUGGCUCAACCAGGGAAUUGCGGCCGAAACUGUCGUGCUCGAGUGUGAGAGGGGAGAGUGGAACUUCCAGUGGAGCGGUGAAAUGCGUAGAUAUUGGAAGGAACGCCGGUGGCGAAAGCGACUCUCUGGCUCACAACUGACACUGAUGGGCGAAAGCUAGGGUAGCGAACGGGAUUAGAUACCCCGGUAGUCCUAGCCGUAAACGAUGGGCACUAAGUGGAGGGAAACCUACCUUUUUCUCUUCUGAAGCUAAUGUAUUAAGUGCCCCGCCUGGGGAGUAUGGUCGCAAGGCUGAAACUCAAAGGAAUUGACGG